rnacentral:rRNA from 1 species
AUUGAACGCUGGCGGCAGGCUUAACACAUGCAAGUCGAACGAGUGGCGGGCGGGUGACUAAUGCUUGGGAAUCUAGCUUAUGGAGGGGUAUAACUACGGGAAACUGUAGCUAAUACCGCGUACCAUAGGAUGAGCCUAAGUGGGUUUAGGUAGCUGGUGAGGUAAAGGCUCACCAAGCCGACGAGCUCUAGCUGGUCGGAGAGGAUGACCAGCCACACGGGGACUGAGACACGGCCCAGACUCCUACGGGAGGCAGCAGUGGGGAAUAUUGCACAAUGGGCGAAAGCCUGAUGGAGCCAUGCCGCGUGUAUGAAGAAGGCCUUAGGGUUGUAAAGUACUUUCAGUGGGGAGGCGUUACCCGCAGAAGAAGCACCGGCUAACUCCGUGCCAGCAGCCGCGGUAAUAC